rnacentral:rRNA from 1 species
UACGGAGGAUCCAAGCGUUAUCCGGAUUUAUUGGGUUUAAAGGGUGCGUAGGCGGCGUUGUAAGUCAGUGGUGAAAGUUUUCAGCUUAACUGGAAAAUUGCCAUUGAUACUGCAGUGCUUGAGUAUAGAUGAGGUGGGCGGAAUGUGUCAUGUAGCGGUGAAAUGCAUAGAUAUGACACAGAACACCGAUUGCGAAGGCAGCUCACUAAACUAUAACUGACGCUGAGGCACGAAAGCGUGGGGAUCAAACAGG